GGGGAUGUCCGGUUUCGACGGGGACUUUGAGACUUUGGGAGCCAUCUGCAGGUUGGACUGCAUUAAAGACCAAACUUAAAUAUAAACGCAAAUAACAAUAACAACGCUUACGCGUUCGCAGCUUGACGCUGUCAUCCUGCCUGCGGUUCCUGCGCCGCAGUAACAGGGUGUUAACCUAAGGCAGGGAACGGCUCUUCCUAAGCUUUGCGGAAGAGACGGAAUGAUGAAGCUACUGAUCUUUUGAUCCCGUCGAUGGGAGCCUGAGAGAGGGAAUGUCAAUACGUCGACUAUGAUGGUAGCCGCCCGGGGCCAAGGGGUUUUCGGACAGGAGUUCGAUUCUCCUCAUCUCCACU
rnacentral:tmRNA from 1 species